UUACGUUGCCAGCAUUCAGUUGGGCGACUCUAAGGUGACUGCCGGCUAAAAGUCGGAGGAAGGUGGGGAUGACGUCAAAUCAUCAUGCCCCUUAUGACCUGGGCUACACACGUGCUACAAUGGGCGGUACAAAGGGUCGCGAACCCGCGAGGGGGAGCCAAUCCCAAAAAGCCGCUCUCAGUUCGGAUUGCAGGCUGCAACUCGCCUGCAUGAAGCCGGAAUCGCUAGUAAUCGCGGAUCAGCAUGCCGCGGUGAAUACGUUCCCGGGCCUU
rnacentral:rRNA from 1 species